AACAAACGCUGGCGGCGUGCCUAAUACAUGCAAGUCGAACGAGUAGCAAUACUAGUGGCGCACGGGUGAGGAAUACAUGGGUAAUCUGCCCUCGAGUCGGGGAUAACCAGUCGAAAGAUUGGCUAAUACCGGAUAAGACCACAAGAUCUGCGGAUCUAGGGGUUAAAGGUUUUUCGCUUGAGGAUGAGCCCAUGCGGGAUUAGCUAGUUGGUGAGGUAAUGGCUCACCAAGGCGACGAUCCCUAACUGGUCUUAGAGGAUGAUCAGUCACACUGGAACUGAGACACGGUCCAGACUCCUACGGGAGGCAGCAGUAGGGAAUAUUGCACAAUGGAGGAAACUCUGAUGCAGCGACGCCGCGUGAGUGAUGAAGGCCUUCGGUCGUAAAGCUCUGUCGUAUGGGACGUAACACAAUGAAGGUACCAUGCAAGAAAGGUUACGGCUAACUUCGUGCCAGCAGCCGCGGUAAAGU
rnacentral:rRNA from 1 species